GGUGGAGCAUGUGGUUUAAUUCGAAGAUACGCGAAGAACCUUACCCAGGCUUGAUAUCUUAGGAAUCCCGUAGAGAUAGGGGAGUGCUUGCUUGCAAGAACCUAAAGACAGGUGCUGCACGGCUGUCGUCAGCUCGUGUCGUGAGAUGUUGGGUUAAGUCCCGCAACGAGCGCAACCCCCGUCAUUAGUUGCUAACGGGUUAUGCCGAGAACUCUAAUGAGACUGCCUUCGUAAGGAGGAGGAAGGUGGGGACGACGUCAAGUCAUCAUGGCCCUUAUGCCUGGGGCGACACACGUGCUACAAUGGUAUGUACAGAGAGACGCAAUACGGCGACGUGGAGCAAAUCUCUAAAACAUAUCUCAGUUCGGAUUGUAGUCUGCAACUCGACUACAUGAAGCUGGAAUCGCUAGUAAUCGCGGAUCAGCCAUGCCGCGGUGAAUACGUUCCCGGGUCUU
rnacentral:rRNA from 1 species